rnacentral:rRNA from 1 species
UUGAAAAGAGAGUCAAACAGUACGUGAAACCGUUGGGAGGGAAACGAACGAGGUUGGUGCAGUGAUUGCGCAGGCUCAGGUUCUGCCGAAGGUGCCGUCGGGUGGGCCCACGUGUCCCCAGGCGUACGUCGGAGGCAGAGCCGUACUCCUCGCGAGCACGGACCAGCAGCGGUUGGAGUGGAGCCACAAGGCUGACAGGAAGGUAGGUCGGGUCGGGCUCGCCCGCUCGACAACUUACAGACUGGCUGUCCGGUGCUCCACUCGGACCGAGGAAAGCGGGCAGCUCUUGCCCAGUGUGGUGCACGCCGUAUGGCGGGGCCUCCCGUCGAGGGCAAGUCGUGCGGGGUUGACUGCUUGCAGUGCUCACCGUCACGGCGAACCCACGGUCGGAGAGUGUCACUUGUGCACCAGUGCUGCUGGUAUUCGGACGGCCUCGUCCGACCCGUCUUGAAACACGGACCAAGGAGUGCAACAUGUGCGCGAGCCCUUUGGCGAGCAAACCAGAAGGCGCAAUGAAAGUGAAGGCACGGUCGCCGUGCUGAGGUGAGAGCCGGCCCCGACGGGACGGCGCAUCAUCGACCGAUCCCAUCCGCACUGCUCGCAGUGUGGCGGGAUUCGAGUGAGAGUGUACCUGUUGCGACCCGAAAGAUGGUGAACUAUGCCUGAAUAGGGUGAAGCCAGAGGAAACUCUGGUGGAGGCCCGUAGCGAUUCUGACGUGCAAAUCGAUCGUCAAAUUUGGGUAUAGGGGCGAAAGACUAAUCGAACC